rnacentral:rRNA from 1 species
GACGAACGUUGGCGGCGUGCUUAAUACAUGCAAGUCAACUGAAGCAGUGGUAGCAAUAUCGCUGUGGAGGUGGCGCACGGGUGAGUAACACGUAGGUAAUCUGCCUUCAGGUCUGGCAUAACUCCGGGAAACCGGGGCUAAUAGCAGAUGAUGCAGCGGCUCGACAUCGAGACAGUUGUUAAAGCUAUGGCGCCUGAAGAUGAGCCUGCGUCUGAUUAGCUAGUUGGCGGGGUAACGGCCCACCAAGGCAACGAUCAGUAGCUGGUCUGAGAGGAUGAUCAGCCACACUGGAACUGAGACACGGUCCAGACUCCUACGGGAGGCAGCAGUAAGGAAUAUUGCUCAAUGGGAGAAAUCCUGAAGCCGCAACGCCGCGUGAGGGACGAAGGGCUUUUGCUUGUAAACCUCUGUAGUGAGAGAAAAAAAUCCCAAUCUUUGGGACAUGAUGGUAUCUCAAAAGUAAGCCCCGGCUAACUACGUG